AUUGCCGAAAUAUAAUGAUUCAAAAUCUUCAUAGCUUUAACAGAGGACAGAUAUUAUGAAUCUGCUUAUUUCUCCUACAAUAUAAUCAAUGAGACAAGAUGCGAGUGAAAGUUCUGGAUAAGCGACAAGAACGGUAAACGAUAAAAAAUUACUUUUUACUUUACACGACGAUAUCUCGGGAACUGGAAACUAUAUCGAAAUAAAUGAAAGAGAAUUUUAAAGAGCAAGGAUCCCCGUUUUUAAUGAUUUUUCACUCAUUGAUCUAGGAUUAUUAUCUUUGAAGUUAUAGCGAUUUAAAGUUUUUCUAAUUUUAAUUGAAUUUCUAAGGUAUGUUAGCGAUAACUCUCCGAAAAAUUAUCUUCUUUGCAUAUCGAUAUCUCAGGAA